AAAACGACUCUCGGCAACGGAUAUCUCGGCUCUCGCAUCGAUGAAGAACGUAGCGAAAUGCGAUACUUGGUGUGAAUUGCAGAAUCCCGUGAACCAUCGAGUCUUUGAACGCAAGUUGCGCCCAAAGCCUUCUGRUUGAGGGCACGUCUGCCUGGGUGUCACRC
rnacentral:rRNA from 1 species